GACGUAGGAUGCAAGCGUUGUCCGGAUUCAUUGGGCGUAAAGAGUUCGUAGGCGGUUUGUUAAGUCUGAUGUUAAAGACCGGGGCUCAACCUCGGAAAUGCAUUGGAUACUGGCAGACUGGAGUGCAGUAGAGGCUAGUGGAAUUCCCAGUGUAGCGGUGAAAUGCGUAGAUAUUGGGAAGAACACCGGUGGCGUAGGCGACUAGCUGGGCUGUAACUGACGCUGAGGAACGAAAGCCAGGGGAGCGAAU
rnacentral:rRNA from 1 species